CGGGCAGGCGGUCGUUCAAGUGGGGUGUGAAAGCUCCCGGCUUAACCGGGAGAGGCCAUUCCGGACUGAACGACUGGAGGGCAGUAGAGGUGCGUGGAAUUCCGGGUGGAGUGGUGAAAUGCGUAGAGAUCCGGAGGAACACCAGAGGCGAAGGCGGCGCACCGGGCUGCACCUGACGCUGAACCGCGAAAGCCAGGGGAGCGAACG
rnacentral:rRNA from 1 species